rnacentral:rRNA from 1 species
UACGCAGGGGGCUAGCGUUGUCCGGAUUUAUUGGGCGUAAAGAGCGUGUAGGCGGCCAGGUAGGUCUGCUGUGAAAACUCGAGGCUCAACCUCGAGACGUCGGCGGAAACCAUCUGGCUAGAGUCCGGAAGAGGAGAGUGGAAUUCCUGGUGUAGCGGUGAAAUGCGCAGAUAUCAGGAAGAACACCCGUGGCGAAGGCAGCUCUCUGGGACGGUACUGACGCUGAGACGCGAAAGCGUGGGGAG